AUUGAACGCUGGCGGCAGGCCUAACACAUGCAAGUCGAACGGCAGCACAGAAGAGCUUGCUCUUUGGGUGGCGAGUGGCGGACGGGUGAGUAAUGUCUGGGAAACUGCCCGAUGGAGGGGGAUAACUACUGGAAACGGUAGCUAAUACCGCAUAACGUCGCGAGACCAAAGUGGGGGACCUUCGGGCCUCACACCAUCGGAUGUGCCCAGAUGGGAUAAGCUAGUGGGUGGGGUAAUGGCUCACCUAGGCGACGAUCCCUAGCUGGUCUGAGAGGAUGACCAGCCACACUGGAACUGAGACACUGUCCAGACUCCUACGGGAGGCAGCAGUGGGGAAUAUUGCACAAUGGGCGCAAGCCUGAUGCAGCCAUGCCGCGUGUAUGAAGAAGGCCUUCGGGUUGUAAAGUACUUUCAGCGGGGAGGAAGGCGGUGAGGUUAAUAACCUUGCCGAUUGACGUUACCCGCAGAAGAAGCACCGGCUAACUCCGUGCCAGCAGCCGCCGUAA
rnacentral:rRNA from 1 species